rnacentral:misc_RNA from 1 species
AAAGUGCGACAAGUGUCAUGACUUGCAGAUACCCGAGAGCUGACAAAUUUCUGAAUGCAAAUUGCAGCCAAGUUAAUCUGGCUAUGUAUUGCAGAGAGUACUUCGCGUAUGCGCUCCAUCCAGAGAUGCUUGCUCAUCCUGGGACGUGCACCGUCUAUCUUGGUUCGCCGAGAGACCACGGACUGUCAAAGAUAGAAAACUUCGUGUUUUCCCGGAUUUAUAUUGAGAAAAGACUUAAUCUUCUCUUCUCAACAUUUACCUCUGCAAUGCAGGAGAACCCGCUGAACUUAA